rnacentral:rRNA from 1 species
CCUACGGGAGGCAGCAGUAGGGAAUAUUGGACAAUGGGUGCGAGCCUGAUCCAGCCAUGCCGCGUGCAGGAAGAAGGCCUUCUGGGUUGUAAACUGCUUUUGCCGGGGGAUAAAAGACCCAUGCGUGGGGAAUUGAAGGUACCCGGUGAAUAAGCCACGGCUAACUACGUGCCAGCAGCCGCGGUAAUACGUAGGUGGCGAGCGUUGUCCGGAUUUAUUGGGUUUAAAGGGUGCGUAGGCGGCCCCGUAAGUCAGUGGUGAAAUACGGCAGCUCAACUGUCGAGGUGCCAUUGAUACUGCGGGGCUUGAGUACAGUCGAGGUAGGCGGAAUUGACGGUGUAGCGGUGAAAUGCUUAGAUAUCGUCAAGAACACCGAUAGCGAAGGCAGCUUGCUAGGCUGUAACUGACGCUGAGGCACGAAAGUGCGGGGAUCAAACAGGAUUAGAUACCCUGGUAGUCCGCACAGUAAACGAUGGUCACUCGGUGUUGGCGGUACACGGCCAGCGCCUUAGCGAAAGCGUUAAGUGACCCACCUGGGGAGUACGCCCGCAAGGGUGAAACUCAAAUGAAUUGACGGCNGAGACGNGCGAGACGACGACGAGGGAGAGG